rnacentral:rRNA from 1 species
CAAGCGUUAAUCGGAAUUACUGGGCGUAAAGCGUGUGUAGGCGGUUCGGAAAGAAAGAUGUGAAAUCCCAGGGCUCAACCUUGGAACUGCAUUUUUAACUGCCGAGCUAGAGUAUGUCAGAGGGGGGUAGAAUUCCACGUGUAGCAGUGAAAUGCGUAGAUAUGUGGAGGAAUACCGAUGGCGAAGGCAGCCCCCUGGGAUAAUACUGACGCUCAGACACGAAA